AGCUCCUCCUUCAAUUUCCCAGGAGGGCUGGCCUCCCCCUCUGGAUUCAAAAGGAGACAGAAAGGAAACCCCAGCUCAAGGGGCGGGGCCUCUAAUCCACCCUUUCACAGGCUCCGGAGGUAGACAAUAGCUUCAGCUCUCUGGACAGCAGGCUCUUUCGGUUUGUGCUCCCCAUCUGACAAGAAUGCGGAAUAGCCCUAAUCCUGUCAGAGGAGUUGCUCACAAUGCCCAUAGCCCGGUCACCCCGGCAACGGGCCAGGGAUGGCGUGCCCUCCGCCCCAUCAGGCCCUAAAGCUGCAUUGCUGAAAGGGGCCAGACCCCAUUCUCACCCCUCCCAAGAACAGGGCAGGGAGGACAAUGGCAGAUGGUCACCAUGGAGCCUCAUCCCUGAGAGGCCCAGCACAGGGGGGAUGAUGCAGAUGGGAAGAUCUGUCUGCUUCUACAUUCAGCUCUAACCCCACUCCCUAAAGAGCUAGGCAGAAAACCCCAGGGCUUAGAACAGGGGAGCAGGGCAAAGACUUUGAAUAUCCCUUCAACUAGGAGAUCCCCCUCUCUCUCUCCUCCAUUCCACACAGAGCAAUACUCCCACACGCCGCUUCUCUACGUGGCUUUUCUCACCCUGAAGGGGAGAUUGCAUGGCCUCCUCUCUUCUCUGAUUAUUGGCAACUGUGCCUAAGGAUGAAAAUAAGCUGACUGAAGCCUAGGAAGAAGAUACCAACUACAGACGGGUACCCAACCCAAAGGGAGGACGGCCACAGGCCAAGAUAAGGACACCGAGGGACACAGAGAGGUAACGCAUCUGUCAAGCAAGGGAAAGCACAAUUGGACACUUUGCAGGAACACAAUAUCCUUCGUUCCUUCACCCAGGACCCUUCAGCACAGAAGGGGGCUUCCCAGUGACGUCUCCCACUCUAAACAUUGCCUGCGGUGCUGGGAGGGCAGCUGUAGCUAGCCGAGGGAUGACAAAGCACUCAG